rnacentral:rRNA from 1 species
UACGUAGGGUGCGAGCGUUAAUCGGAAUUACUGGGCGUAAAGCGUGCGCAGGCGGUUAUGCAAGACAGAUGUGAAAUCCCCGGGCUCAACCUGGGAACUGCAUUUGUGACUGCAUGGCUAGAGUGCGGCAGAGGGGGAUGGAAUUCCGCGUGUAGCAGUGAAAUGCGUAGAUAUGUGGAGGAACAUCAGUGGCGAAGGCGGCUACCUGGCCCAAUACUGACACUCAGGUGCGACAGCGUCGGGGAGCGAACAGG